GCAAGUCGAGCGAGAAUCGGACCUUCGGGUCCGAGGACAGCGGCGAACGGGUGAGUAACACGUGGGUAAUCUGCCCUCGGCACCGGAAUAGCCCGGGGAAACCCGGAUUAAUGCCGGAUGGCCCAACAGCUCUUCGGGGCGGUUGGAAAAGGUAGCUUCGGCCUCCGGCCGAGGAGGAGCCCGCGGCGGAUUAGCUUGUUGGUGAGGGUAACGGCCCACCAAGGCGACGAUCCGUAGCUGGUCUGAGAGGACGAUCAGCCACACUGGGACUGAGACACGGCCCAGACUCCUACGGGAGGCAGCAGUGGGGAAUCUUGCGCAAUGGGCGCAAGCCUGACGCAGCGACGCCGCGUGGGGGAAGAAGGCUUUCGGGUUGCAAACCCCUUUCAGAAGGGACGAAGCUACUCGGGUGAAUAGCCCAGAGGGUGACGGUACCUUCAGAAGAAGCCCCGGCUAACUACGUGCCAGCAGCCGCGGUAAUACGUANGGGGCAAGCGUUGUCCGGAUUUAUUGGGCGUAAAGAGCGUGUAGGCGGCCAGGCAGGUCCGUGGUGAA
rnacentral:rRNA from 1 species